UGCAAGUCGAACGAGAUCUUCGGAUCUAGUGGCGGACGGGUGAGUAACGCGUGGGAACGUGCCUUUCACUACGGAAUAGCCCCGGGAAACUGGGUUUAAUACCGUAUACGCCCUUCGGGGGAAAGAACUUCGGUGAAAGAUCGGCCCGCGUUAGAUUAGGUAGUUGGUGGGGUAAUGGCCUACCAAGCCUACGAUCUAUAGCUGGUUUUAGAGGAUGAUCAGCCACACUGGGACUGAGACACGGCCCAGACUCCUACGGGAGGCAGCAGUGGGGAAUCUUAAACAAUGGGGGAAACCCUGAUCUAGCCAUGCCGCGUGAGUGACGAAGGCCCUAGGGUCGUAAAGCUCUUUCGCCAGGGAUGAUAAUGACAGUACCUGGUAAAGAAACCCCGGCUAACUCCGUGCCAGCAGCCGCGGUAAUACGGAGGGGGUUAGCGUUGUUCGGAAUUACUGGGCGUAAAGCGCGCGUAGGCGGAUUGGAAAGUUGGGGGUGAAAUCCCGGGGCUCAACCCCGGAACUGCCUCCAAAACUAUCAGUCUAGAGUUCGAGAGAGGUGAGUGGAACUCCGAGUGUAGAGGUGAAAUUCGUAGAUAUUCGGAAGAACACCAGUGGCGAAGGCGGCUCACUGGCUCGAUACUGACGCUGAGGUGCGAAAGUGUGGGGAGCAAACAGGAUUAGAUACCCUGGUAGUCCACACCGUAAACGAUGAAUGCCAGUCGUCGGCAAGCAUGCUUGUCGGUGACACACCUAACGGAUUA
rnacentral:rRNA from 1 species